GGAUGUGAGGGCGAUCUGGCUGCGACAUCUGUCACCCCAUUGAUCGCCAGGAUUGAUUCGGCUGAUCUGGCUGGCUAGGUGGGUGUCCCCCUCCUCCCUCACCGAUCCAUGUUUGUCCCUCCCAAAGCUGCGCGCUCUGUCGAAGAGGACGACCUUCCCCCCCCCCCGCCCCCCCAGGAGAGGACCUGUCUUCGGUCAAGGGUAUACGAGUAGCUGCGCUCCCCUGCUAGAACCUCCAAACAAGCUCUCAAAGUAGAAUUUAGGUUUACUGGAAUGUGUGAUUAGUUUGCCUCUUCAAUACUUAAAAUUAAAUGCUUUGGUGGUAAACUGUUUGAUAGU
rfam:Myotis lucifugus cont2.9005, whole genome shotgun sequence.